UCUGGAGGAUCAGACCCCUUCUCCAUCCUCCUCCUCCUCCUCCUGGCCGCCCUCCCAGGGCUGCGGGCGGCCGUGGAGCUGACGGAGUCCGGAGGGGGCACCGUGACACCCGGGGGGUCCCUCACCCUCCGCUGCAAGGCCUCCGGCUUCACCUUCAGCGACUACGGCAUGCAAUGGGUGCGACAGGACCCUGGGAAGGGUCUGGAGUUCGUCGCACAAAUUAGCAAGGAUGGUAGUGGCACAGAAUACGCGCCGUCGGUGAAGGGUCGCUUCACCAUCUCCAGGGACAACUCCCAGAGCACGGUCACGCUGAAGAUGAAGGACCUCAAGGAGGACGACACGGCCACCUACUACUGCGCCAAAAGUGCUGAUGGUGAUGGUUGG